rnacentral:rRNA from 1 species
CCUACGGGUGGCAGCAGUAGGGAAUAUUGCUCAAUGGGGGAAACCCUGAAGCAGCAACGCCGCGUGGAGGAUGAAGGUUUUCGGAUCGUAAACUCCUUUUGUUAGAGAAGAUCAUGCCGGUAUCUAAUCAAUAAUCACUUGCUAACUCCGUCCCAGCAGCCACGGUAAUACGGGGGGUGCAAGCGUUACUCGGAAUGACUGGGCGUAAAGAGCGCGUAGGCGGGAUAGCAAGUCAGAUGUGAAAUCCUAUGGCUUAACCAUAGAACUGCCUUUGAAACUGUUAUUCUAGAGUAUGGGAGAGGUAGGUGGAAUUCGGGGUGUAGGAGUAAAAUCCGUAGAGAUCAAGAGGAAUACUCAUUGCGAAGGCGACCUGCUAGAACAUAACUGACGCUGAUGCGCGAAAGCGUGGGGAGCAAACAGGAUUAGAUACCCCUGUAGUC